AAUGAACGCUGGCGGCGUGCCUAACACAUGCAAGUCGGAUGUGCCCGCAAGGGUGCAUGGCAGACGGGUGAGUAACGCGUGGGGAAUCUACCUUUUUAGUGGGGAAUAACGCUCCGAAAGGAGUGGUAAUACCGCAUGUGACCAUUGGCUGGGAUGUUGAUGGUGAAACCCUGGGACCUUCGGGCCAGGGGCUAAAAGAGGAUCCUGCGUCUGAUUAGCUAGUUGGCGGGGUAACGGCCCACCAAGGCGACGAUCAGUAGCCGGCCUGAGAGGGUGAUCGGCCACACUGGAACUGAGACACGGUCCAGACUCCUACGGGAGGCAGCAGUGGGGAAUUUUGCGCAAUGGACGAAAGUCUGACGCAGCAACGCCGCGUGGGUGAUGAAGGUCUUCGGAUUGUAAAACCCUGUCGCCAGGGACGAAGGGUGAGGUGUGAAUAGCGCCUUACUUUGACGGUACCUGGAAAGGAAGCCCCGGCUAACUCUGUGCCAGCAGCCGCGGUAAAG
rnacentral:rRNA from 1 species